AUUAUACCUAAAACUUCAAAUUUUAUAGUUCAGACCUAUGAAAGAGAUAGCUAAGUUUUGGAAACGCUUGCAAACUAAUUUUUUUAUAUUAGUGCGUGUUUAAUGCAAAUUAAAAACAAAAUUACCACCUAUCUCAUAGAAGAAGCUGAAAUUACCAACGGGAAUGCUGUAGCACAAGCUCCAGUAACAAAAGGCUGCUACUUAGCCACUGGAAGCAAAGAUCAAACCAUUCGAAUCUGGAGCUGUUCUAGAGGCCGAGGGGUGAUGAUUUUGAAAUUGCCCUUUCUGAAGAGAAGAGGAGGGGGUAUAGACCCAACUGUUAAAGAGCGCCUUUGGUUGACCCUCCAUUGGCCCAGCAAUCAGCCAACACAGCUGGUAUCUAGCUGUUUUGGAGGUGAACUGUUGCAAUGGGAUCUCACUCAAUCUUGGAGACGGAAAUACACCCUCUUCAGUGCCUCAUCAGAAGGGCAAAAUCAUUCAAGAAUUGUGUUUAAUUUAUGUCCUUUACAAACAGAGGAUGACAAACAGCUGUUACUUUCUACAUCAAUGGAUAGAGA
rnacentral:sRNA from 1 species